CCUCCCCAUGUGCAAGGACGCGACGACGGCGGAUCCGGUCUGGGAGACGACGAAUGCGGCCAGGGAGGCUGCGGGGGAGCGCACGCCGCCGGCGAAGGUGGCGGCUGGGGACGGAGCACAGGGCAGAGGUUGCGGGGGAGCGCGGGGCGCCGUACUUGCGGGAAAGCGCGGGACGGCGACGGAGGAGAGCUGCGGGGGAGGGGAGAGAAACUCUGCCUCUCACUGCAGCAGGCAAACCCCUUGUCUGCUCCUGCUUCUCGUCCUCCUUUGUCGGAAUAUUUUUUCUUUCAGGUUUUCUUCACAAGAAGCUGAAAAAGGAGAGUUUUUUUUUUAUGGACGGCCAGAGGAGAUGUGCGUGUGCAAAAUGGUGUCUUCUAUUGGACGCAAUGGAAGCAUGGGAACUUCUUUUUUGGUCGCAGUAACCUCACAGGCUGGAAAUGGAUGCAAAGGGGGAGAAGGGUUAGGUGGUGUACUGUGCGCCAAAUGCUAUAGCUUACCAUGUGCUUUUGAACAAUGGGAUGGCGAUGCACAAAGCAAUUACCACCCUGGGUUCUAACUUACAUUUGAGGUUACAAGCCAAGAUUUGAAUUUUCCAACCUUACAUUUGAGGUUCAUUUCCUCUUCCAUGUUUAGAGCUAACCAGGUCUUCGCUUACUUGUGCUUGCUGAUUUGUCUGGUGCCUUUCCUUCGCCGAGCUGGCAGAUCAAAAUUUGGGAGCUUACUCUCACUCGGGCAUGACCACACUAAACUUGAUAAACUUUAUAUGAGGGGCCCUGAAGGACGUGGGGAAGUUGAAGUAGCUGUUUCUGGAAUUGCAGAGCCAUGAGAGAUCAAAGAAAGAUCCAGGAGAUAGCUUUCGAGUUCUUGUUCGUAGGGCAGCUUCUGCUGCAUCAAAGCUAGCAAAGCAUGCCUACGAGGCUGGAUCUACCAACAAACGAUCUGACGAUGAGCUUCUGCCUCUGAAAUAUUGCUUGAUAUCAGUAUCUCUUCCUUGGGACUAUAUUGCACACGACCUACUGCACAAGGUGAAAUCCAUCUCUACAUGCAAAUAAUAUGAUUGUGUCUAUGCCUAAAAUUGUUGAAAACUAGUUUCAUUGUCCUGCCUAAUUUUUUGUCACGAUUACUGAGUAUUAACUGCUGUCAAAUACUAAUGGUGUAAAACUGCCGGUGAUUAGUUUCAUAUUACUGCAUUUUUUUUGUCACAAUUAUCAAGCAUUGGCUGUUUUCAAACAAUAUGGUCUUAUUCAUCAUUGAUAACUAGUUCCUUUUCGCUGAUUAUUAUUCUUUUGUGUCACAAUUAUCGAGUGUUGGCUGUCAAACAGUAUCAUCUAUGUGGUUGAUGAAAUUAACUUGGUUUUGUUAUCAAUGACACUGUUUCAGUCUAUACAUCUAUAGGAUGUUUUCAUGCACAGCCGAAUCGUUGUCAUAGUCCCAUAUGUGGAUCGUUACAUAGAGGUUCAAACAUAAGUUAUAUUGGUUGAACAAUAAGUGGGUUAGUUUCUUCACAUUGUUGAACGCAAUCCACCUGAGAGAAUGGCUCAAGGUUAGCACCACAAGGAUUGAUUUAUUUAUGUGCAUGUCUGUGGUUAGCAGUCUUGUGGUCUCGAUAUUGUGCAAGAAAAAGAAUGAGCAGAGAAACAGUCAUGCGCUGUGUACAUGUGAAUAGACUAAACCUAUAGAGUUUUCAUGUGUCUAUUUUUAACAAGUGCUUUUGUACAAAAUAAAGUAGAUGAUGAAAGCAUGUAAAUAUUCAGUUUUCCAUGAGGCAAAAACAAUACAAACCUUUACGUUUUUUCUGUUUGAGUUGCUCCAGCGUACGUAAAUGCAGGACCCAUGAAUGCGGGUAUCCGUGGCUCUCAUACCCGAUGGGCAUAGGGUGGGUAAAAAGUCUUAUCCGUGAGUACACGCGGGUCGGGUACCUGGAAAUAUGUGGGUCGGGUACAGGUACAUGUCUUCACCCGUGGAUACCUAUCGGGUAUACGCGGUUCUACAGAAAUACACUAUAUCCUACAUUUAUGCAACUUGCAAAGUAGCCUAGCCCAUAGAAAAUCUUAAAGCAAAUAUUACUAUGAAUAAUAGUCAUAUGAAUUCCAGACUUUCAAUAAUAUACAUGUGCAUGGUCAAAAAAGACACGUGGACAAUAAUAUGCAUGUGAGAUGUGACACUGUUAUUUGCUUUAAUUAGUUGCUUAAUUAGUUGACAUACGUCGUUCCUUGUUGGUAUGGUGGAAAUAUGUGCUAGAUUUGAAUUUUUCCUACUGUUGUGAUCACUAUGAUGUCAUAUUUGUCUCUGCCUUUAUGAUCAUUAUGAUGUCAUAUGUCUCUGCCUGAUGGGUACCCGAGACCCGACGGGUACCUGAUGGGUGCGAGUGUGGGUACAAAACUAUAUCUGCUGGUAUGCUUGCGGGCGGGUAAAAGACAGGGCUGCGGGUAUGCACGUGGAUGGAUACCUGGACCGCUUGCAUGAAGGAGAUUCGGAGCCCGCCGAAGCACCCGUGUACUUCGAGAUCGUUGCAGAGAUCCCUCCUAAAGCUGAGCAAGGC